UAAAUUAUAGCUAAAGUUUCCAUGUCCUACAGAGACGUAAAAAGAAGUUUCUUCCCUACUAAAUUAGAUGAAGUAGAUAAAUCGUCUGAAAAAAUGCCAUCAAUGCUGUGUUUGUGCCAAAGCUUAAUGUGUGUCGACUUUAAACAUAUGCCACAUAAGAUCUCAAGCGCCAUAGGCAAGGUUGGGAUGACUAACCUGGGAACCCUCGAAUUUCUCACUCCCAUGCAAUUAUAAAUCUGAGAAUGUGUCUCCGAUAUCUCUGAAGUGGGAAAGCAAUGCGUGGAAAGGUGCCUUCUAUAUUCCUAACAGUCCAAAAUAGCGUUGUGGACAUGAAAGUGUCAUAACCAAGGUGCCUUUUAUAUAUAUAUUCUUAACGGUCGCCUGGCCCGUCAAAGGAUUAGAAGAGGAGAUUCUAUUUUAACAAUUUAGAUCAUGUUUCUUUUUGAAAAAAAUGUGAUUUCAUCAAGUGGUCCGCUGAAUAAUGAGAAAAAAUGUUGUCAAAGGCGAAAAGUGUGCCAUAAUACAUAAACAUAUUUUUUAACUUGGUCUCAACUGACAUUUAUGCCCUCAACUUUGGAUGUGCAUAACUAGAUACUUAAACUUGUAUAAAAUUGCACAAGUAGACGCACGCGUCCUAUGUAACAUAAUACACGUAGGAUGCCACGAAGGGAAUUUCCAUAUAGGACUCAUGUGUCUACUUAUUCAACUUCAUACAAGUUUAAGUACCUACUUAUGCAAACCCAAAGUUGGAUGACAUAAACGUCAACUGAGACUAAGUUAAAGGACACGUUUAUGUAUUAAGAUUUUUUUUUUAUCUACUAAUCGUAUGCAUAACAAUACUUUCAAAUUAAAAAAAUAAAAUAAUUGGGGAUUGCAUGGAGGGUAAGGGACCAUGGGAAUGAUAGGUGUGGUUGUGUAAGGUGGGCGUAUUAUGGAUCUCUCAAUAACAUGUCGGUAGAAUAGAGGGAAUUUAUCAUACAAUAUGCCCUUUCAUUACUUCAACAGAAGAUCAGAUGCAUCUCUUUAAGGGACAAAUGCUAUAAGAAAGUGCAGUACUGCUAGAGGAGCUUAUUGCUUUAUUCAUUGGGAAAUGCCUAAUUCUCCUCCGUAACUUCAUUUCCAUGGAGAUUGAAAAGGCAACAGAACACACUGAAAAAAACAUUUCCGGAAUCUAUGUGGCUAUGGACAAUCCUUCCGAGAGUUAUACGCCUACAAGCUUACUAUAACUUGUUUUAAAUAAAAUUCACCAAUAAAAAUUCAAAUGAUAUGUACCUAGAUAUAGCAAUUAGUUGUAGUAUCUGUCAAUAAGUUUUUGAGCACGUUAAGGCGUGUAUUUUAUACCGUGGCCUUGAAUUUUAAUCAGACUUUUAGGGCCACACAUUUUAUUUAGACUCAAAUGUUGUAGUCUUUUUCAAUAUGUUUUUCAGUACAGUGAGGAGUGUAUAAGAACUCUUCUAGCCCUUAUAAAUUUGUAUCAGGGAAGAAUAGCUCUUGUGCGUGGCAGAAUAUUGAGCGAACACGUGGCAUAUUGAUAAAGAGUACCCAUGAAGAUUCCUUUAAAGUUCCCAAUCCAAGGACCAGCCAGUAAGUCUGACCUCAGCAAGUUACCGAGGUUAGGAGGUGAUCGACAUCGGGUAAUAGGUGGAAAACGGGGCCCGAAAUCAGAGACUCGUGUAGCGAUGAUAGAGCAAAAGGCCAAAGUGACAUAUACGCCAGAUGUAUCCGUACAAGACUAUCAACAACAGAGGAGUAUUAGCUGGCAUAGAUGACAGUUUCCCAUGUGGAGUAUUGCUAUUGGGCAUAAUACUUUAGGGCUCAAGUGGAGCUUUUCUAUUGGUUGAUGUAUUGCCUUUGUUGCUUUGUAAAGCGCCGGAUUCUAAGUAAUAUACUAGUGUUCG